AUAGAUACCGGUAGUCCACGCCGUAAACGAUGAGUGCUAAGUGUUAGAGGGUUUCCGCCCUUUAGUGCUGCAGCGUAACGCAUUAUGCACUCCGCCUGGGGAGUACGGUCGCAAGACUGAAACUCAAAGGAAUUGACGGGGGCCCGCACAAGCGGUGGAGCAUGUGGUUUAAUUCGAAGCAACGCGAAGAACCUUACCAAGUCUUGACAUCCUCUGACAACUCUAGAGAUAGAGCGUUCCCCCUUCGGGGGACAGAGUGACAGGUGGUGCAUGGUUGUCGUCAGCUCGUGUCGUGAGAUGUUGGGUUAAGUCCCGCAACGAGCGCAACCCUUGAUCUUAGUUGCCAGCAUUUAGUUGGGCACUCUAAGGUGACUGCCGGUGACAAACCGGAGGAAGGUGGGGAUGACGUCAAAUCAUCAUGCCCCCUUAUGACCUGGGCUACACACGUGCUACAAUGGAUGGUACAAAGGGCUGCAAGACCGCGAGGUCAAGCCAAUCCCAUAAAACCCAUUCUCAGUUCGGAUUGU
rnacentral:rRNA from 1 species